rnacentral:rRNA from 1 species
CCUACGGGGGGCUGCAGUGGGGAAUAUUGGACAAUGGGGGGAACCCUGAUCCAGCCAUGCCGCGUGUGUGAAGAAGGCCCUCGGGUUGUAAAGCACUUUCAGUGAGGAAGAACGCCUGGUGGUUAAUACCCAUCAGGAAAGACAUCACUCACAGAAGAAGCACCGGCUAACUCCGUGCCAGCAGCCGCGGUAAUACGGAGGGUGCGAGCGUUAAUCGGAAUUACUGGGCGUAAAGCGCGCGUAGGUGGCUUGAUAAGCCGGGUGUGAAAGCCCCGGGCUCAACCUGGGAACGGCAUCCGGAACUGUCAAGCUAGAGUGCAGGAGAGGAAGGUUGAAUUCCCGGUGUAGCGGUGAAAUGCGUAGAGAUCGGGAGGAAUACCAGUGGCGAAGGCGGCCUUCUGGACUGACACUGACACUGAGGUGCGAAAGCGUGGGUAGCAAACAGGAUUAGAUACCCCAGUAGUC